UACGAAGGGGGCUAGCGUUGCUCGGAAUCACUGGGCGUAAAGCGCACGUAGGCGGAUUGUUAAGUCAGGGGUGAAAUCCUGGAGCUCAACUCCAGAACUGCCUUUGAUACUGGCGAUCUCGAGUCCGGGAGAGGUGAGUGGAACUGCGAGUGUAGAGGUGAAAUUCGUAGAUAUUCGCAAGAACACCAGUGGCGAAGGCGGACUCACUGGCCCGGUACUGGACGC
rnacentral:rRNA from 1 species